CUCAAACAGAAUAAAGGUUCCAAAGAGGAAUUAUUCUACUACCGGUAGCCAGGUCAAAGCCUCAAGUUCCACAUCAGAUGUCACCUCAAGUCAAGCUAGUAACGUAUGAUGGGAGUGUGAAAAGAGGAAAAAAUAAUGUAAACAUAAAAAUGCUCGAAGACUGUAUACUUCCACAACUGAAUCUUGUGGCAUCUUACCAUCAUUGUGAAGCACAAUUCACCAAGCAUUGGAUUGUUGGACAACUAAUGUAAACGUAAUCAGGAAAGGGGGAUGGGUGAAGAUAAACUUCUACUUUGUGAGAUGUCCUUCCUGACGCAACUCUUCUGCAUUUAUUCGGAGGGAGAGCUGGAGUCUAUCCCAGCUAACUUCGGGCAGAGGAAGACUACACCCCGAACUGGUCGCCAGCCAGUUGCAGGGCAGAUAUCGACACCAUCACUGAGCGGGAAUUGAUCCAACGCUGCCUGCAUUCAAAACUCAAAACGGCCCUCUGAGGGCAAUCCGAGCUAUAACCUGGCCCGUGAGAGAAAUGUGUUUGACACCCCUGCACUACACCAUCAGAUUAAAA